rnacentral:rRNA from 1 species
GACGGAGGGGCCGUGCGUUAAUCGGAAUUACUGUGCGUCAAGCGUCCGUAGGCGGCUUGUUAAGUCUGAUGUGAAAGCCCUGGGCUUAACCUGGGAACGGCAUUGGAUACUGGCGAGCUAGAGUUCGGUAGAGGGUGGUGGAAUUCCCGGUGUAGCGGUGAAAUGCGUAGAGAUCGGGAGGAACACCGGUGGCGAAGGUGGCCACCUGGACCGAGACUGACGCUGAGGGACGCAAGCGUGGGGAGCAAACAGG